UGCGACCCAGAGGUUCAUGGAGCACUCGGAGCUGGACAAGGUCCUGAGUAGCAAUGGUGAUUGUGCUAGCACCUCUGGAAACAGUGUCGACAGGAAGAUGAGGAAAUCAGCCUCGUUGCCAAACAUGUCGGACAUCGUGGAUGGGGGCCUAGCAUUUGCCCACUACUGCUUCACGGGCAGCGAGCUCCUCCGGCUGUCGACCGGGGCGGUGCCCGGGACCCUGAACUACAAUAAGCAACAUAGCGUGGACAUGCACCUGCUGCCCCCUCAGGUACAGAAUCCUGUAUAUGGCUGGUAAGACGACACCACUGCUGUUAGUAGUACAUAGAUAGGUCUGUAAUUUGUGACACUAAUUCUUUUUCCUCCUC
rnacentral:lncRNA from 1 species